rnacentral:rRNA from 1 species
GAUGAACGCUGGCGGCGUGCCUAAUACAUGCAAGUCGAGCGAACAGACGAGGAGCUUGCUCCUCUGACGUUAGCGGCGGACGGGUGAGUAACACGUGGAUAACCUACCUAUAAGACUGGGAUAACUUCGGGAAACCGGAGCUAAUACCGGAUAAUAUAUUGUACCGCAUGGUUCAAUAGUGAAAGACGGUUUUGCUGUCACUUAUAGAUGGAUCCGCGCCGCAUUAGCUAGUUGGUAAGGUAACGGCUUACCAAGGCAACGAUGCGUAGCCGACCUGAGAGGGUGAUCGGCCACACUGGAACUGAGACACGGUCCAGACUCCUACGGGAGGCAGCAGUAGGGAAUCUUCCGCAAUGGGCGAAAGCUUGACGGAGCAACGCCGCGUGAGUGAUGAAGGUCUGCGGAUCGUAAAACUCUGUUAUUAGGGAAGAACAAAUGUGUAAGUAACUAUGCACGUCUUGACGGUACCUAAGCAGAAAGCCACGGCUAACUACGU